GCCUAACAUCUAGCCCACACUACCCCCAUGAACCUUUUCUACACCCUCCCGUACACAACAAAACAUUUUAUCUCUUUAGUACAGGCGAUCGAAAAACUUAUAGGCGCUUCAGAUUAAGUACCGCAAGGGAAAGAUGAAAUAAAAAUGAAAUAACUUUAAAGCCCCAAAUAGCAGAGAUAUACCCUCGUACCUUUUGCAUCAUGGUCUAACCAGUUUAACCAAGCAAAAUGUGAACUUUAGUUUGACACCCCGAAACUAAGUGAGCUACUUCGAAACAGCCCUAAGGGGCCAACCCGUCUCUGUUGCAAAAGAGUGGGAAGAUUUUCAAGUAGAGGUGACAAGCCUACCGAACUUAGAGAUAGCUGGUUUUUCAGGAGAAGAGUCUUAUCUCUGCCUUAAGUUUUCUUAUUAACUCAAACAAAUCUUUAAACUUAAGAGUUAUUCAAGUAAGGUUCAGCUUACUUGAAACAGGAUACAACCUCCAAUAUUGGGUAAAUAAGGGGAACCUAGAUAAAGUGGGCCUAAAAGCAGCCACCUUAUAAAAAGCGUUAAAGCUUAAUCACCAAUUCACCCAUAAUUCCUUGAUUCCUUAUUAACCCCUCAUCCCUACUGAAUCAUUUUAUACUAUUAUAAAAAUUAUUAUGCUAGAACUAGUAACAAGAAACUGCCUUUCUCCUGAAUGUCAGCCAGAACCGAAAUAAACCCUAUCGGUAUUUAACGUAUAUGCUCUAACUAUAGUAACCCGCAACUAGAAAACCCUAUUAUUUUCAACGUCAACCUUACACUAGAACAUUACAGGAAAGAUAAAAGAAAGAG
rnacentral:rRNA from 1 species